ACAAAUAAUUUUUCAUAACUCAUCACAAUUACUUACCUUUUGGGAAUUUUCUCUUGACUAUCACGAAAGGCUAAAAAUAUUAAUUGAAAUAAAAAUCAAUGAUGUUUGAUGAUUGCCAAUAAAAAUUAUACGAGCUCUUUAUUAAUGUUUAAGUGAUCAACUCAUUGAGCUUAAGAGAUAAACGUGGCACAUUGAAAUAUCUUAGAGACACUUAACAAAAAAUUCAAAUUUAUUAUGCUAAGAUAUAUUAAUGGUAGUUAACAAAACCAUUUAAAUUUUACUUAUAAAGUGAUCAAACAAUUUUCAAUUUACUAAAUACGAAGAGGAAAAAUAUGAUUCAAAAUUUUAAAUUUUUGUAUACUUUGAUAAUCUUUCUUUAUCUAUUUGUUGUUGUAACCUACAGCACUAAUAUACACUGCAAAAAAGAUGCUGACUGUCCCAAAAAUAUGUGUACUCGUCCUUUAAAAGUAGAGUGUAUUAAUAUGUUUUUUACUUGUGAGUGCGUGUAUAAGAUUAACAAUUAGGUUGAAAUAUGUUAUUUGUUAAUUAUAAGCGCGUGUUUUUAUCUGGGUUGUUGAAAUUGCUACUAAAACUACUAUUAAUAUAGAAAUAGAAUGUCAUUACUUUGAUC